GUUUCUUUGCAAUUUCUUGACUCCCAGUCCACGGCAGAUGAGGAAGAGGAGCAGGGCCAGCUAGCAGGGCCAGGGCUGGGGGAGCCGAGGGCGGCGCCCAGGAUGCAAGCUGUGCAGAGGUUCACGCAUGAGCCUGAGAGAGCUGAGUCUCUGUCCCCUUUGCCCAUGUGAUGAGUCUAGGAAGGGCUGGAAGACAGUCGUACACCGCAUGACGACGGUUCGGUCAACGACAGAUCGCAUAUACGAUGGUGGUCCCAUAAGAUUAGGACCUACAGCCUGGGUGUGUAGUGGGCUGUACCAUCUUGGUUUGUGCAAGUAUGUUCUGAUGUUCGCACAACAACAGAAUCGCCAAACAAUGCAUUUCUCGGAAUGUAUCCUUGUUGUUAAGCAGCGCAUGACUGUACACUCUUUCUUUUCUGUCCUGAAUUCCUCCAGCUAACUCAGAGACUGACCUCCAGUCUCGUAUGAAUUAAACUCUGCUUUGCUCUUCAGAAUAUCCUUGUUACAUUAAUUUAGGGAGCAUAAUAAAUCUGGAGUGAAAUAUGUCUGCUGCAAAUGCUAAUUUGCUCCAUGAGAAUAUCAAUUAGAUCUCUGAGGCAGAGGAAUUAUGGCUGCUAAAGAUCUCAAAGGCGAGGAAAUUGAGUGGCAGAGAAUUUGAAUAACUCUCCUGGCUUCUACUUCUGGCCAAACUGGAGAAACAGGGAUCCGAUUUACUCUGCUUCCUGAGACAACUGGAAAACCAAGCAACAGCCCUCAAGGUAUUGGAUGCUGGUCAACGAAGGACAGUGAUCCCCGAGAGAUGAGAAACAAAUGAGGUAAGACUCUCACAUGUUCCAGCUCACUGCCUGGAGGAAGUUUCCAGUCCACCGUGCAGAUGGCGGGACGCCAGCCAAGCCCAGCAGCCUCCUUGAAUUGAGGCUACAGAACUAGGAGUCCAAGGAAAUCAAGGUGGCUAGAGUUUGCAGAGCAGGGCACCUGAGAGAAGAGAACUUGACAGAGAGAGAACUCUGGGGCCCUGCAAAGGGUCAGUCACAAGUAUUCAGUUUACUGACAAGAGCAUGUGUCGCUGACGCCGGAGGAAGAACCACUCGAAAGAAUUAGAGACAACAUUGCUGAGAGCUCACACUGGGCUGGGAAUAGUGCCGUUCCCAACAGCCGGAGUGGAAAACGCUCAUAAUUUGUGGGGCAUGUGUUAAAGGCCUAGGAAGGGAACUGCCUCAUGAGGGGAGAAAACUAACACUAAUUACUAAUACAGCAAUACAGACUAUACAGUAGCAAUACAGUAAUUAGUAAUUACUAAUACAGACUAAUACUGCACUGAUCACGUCAAACGAAACUUACAAGAAAGCCCUGAAGGGGCCACAUUGCAUCCAGAUAACUGGACCACAUGCUGAAAAACAGCUCAAAAAUAUAUUUUAGAAAUGUUUACCUAUGACCUGGUCAGAGAAAAUGUUGACAUGGAUGGGCUAAAGGUGUAAAAAGCUGGAAAUGCAUUUUAUCAUUUCUGGUUCUAAGUGUACUAAAUUAAAAUGGUCUCUAUUCCAAUGUAUUUAUUUGUUUGUUUAGUACAACAAUGUCCAGCACACAGCAAGGUAAGAUGUAAAAUGUCUAGUAUCCAAUAAAAAAAACGUAGGCAUGCAAAAGCAGCAAAAUAAGGAGAAAAAUCAAUCAAAUCUGACCCAGAUGAUAAAAUUAGUAGAUAAGGACAUUAAAACAAUCUUUACAACUUUAUUUCAUAUGUUCUAGAAGCUAGAGGAAAGGUUAGAUGUGUUAAGUAGAUACAAGGAAGACUUAAAAAAAACCGAAACACCCAGAUUGAAGUUCUAGAGAUGAAAACUACAAUGUCAGAGACAAAAAUACGUCAGACGACCGUCAUGUUAGAUAUCAGUGAAGAUUAGUGAACUUGAUGACUUAUCAAUAGAAACUGUCCAAAACUAAGCAAAGAAAACACAAACUAAUCUAUUCUGCAGAAAGUGGAGCAGUGGAUUUCUGGGGAUGAACCUUAAGUGGGGGGUGAGUAGGGGCACGAGGAAGAUUUUGGAGGUGAUGGACGUGUUCCUUAUCUUGGUUGUGGUGAUGGUUUCCCAUGUGUUUACAUACAUCAAAACGUAUAAAAUUGUACACUUUG
ensembl:lncRNA